rnacentral:rRNA from 1 species
UGCCUUCUGUUAAACUAAUUGAAGGUACCUCCUGCCCAGUGAAAAUUUUCAACGGCCGCGGUAUCCUAACCGUGCAAAGGUAGCAUAAUCACUUGUCUAUUAAUUGUAGACUAGAAUGAAAGGAUAAACGAAACAAGCCCUGUCUCCAUUAGUUCAAUAUAAAUUAUAAUUUAGAUGAAGAUAUCUAAAUAAAAACGAAGGACAAGAAGACCCUAUAGAGCUUUAUCUUUAUAAAGAAUAAAACUUUUCCAAGAUUCGGUUGGGGCGACCAAGGAAUUAAUAAUCAUCCUUAUAUACAAGAUAUAUUAAUCUUUCUCAUGAUCCUUAUUUAAGAGCAUAAAAUCAAGCUACCUUAGGGAUAACAGGCUAAUCUCAUUAAAGAGUCCUUAUCUAUAAUGAGGGUUGGCACCUCGAUGUUGGCUUAGGGCAUCUAUGUGGCGCAAAAGUCACAAAAAGAAAGUUUGUUCAACUUUUAAUUCCCU